rnacentral:lncRNA from 1 species
GCCAUGAUCACCUUCCAAUUCCAAAAACUGAAUCAAGCAUAGGGGUGGAAACUCCUAUUCACCUGCAAAGGUGAAUAGCAGGCUUUUGAAGAGAAACUCCAUAGAAGCAGCAACAUUUUUAGAGCACAAGAACUGAAGAUAGAGGGAGCUGUGUGAAGUACAUGAAAUGAAAGGAAUGCAAAUAAAGUUAUAAAUAGGAAGCCUGUCAAGAAAAAAGGAGGUGACAUUGAGAACUUCUUGGAUGAUUUGAAUAUUCAAAUCCAUCGUGCAGGGGAAUACAGUCCACGCUGAUUACAUUUAUCAUUAAAUCAGCGGAGCAAAUUCUAAGAAAAUAAUGUGAAU